rnacentral:rRNA from 1 species
UACGUAGGGAGCAAGCGUUGUCUGGAAUCAUUGGGCGUAAAGCGCGCGUAGGCGGCCCUGUAAGUCCGUUGUGAAAGUCAAAGGCUCAACCUUUGAAAGCCGAUGGAUACUGCAGGGCUAGAGUCCGGAAGAGGCGAGUGGAAUUCCUGGUGUAGCGGUGGAAUGCGCAGAUAUCAGGAGGAACACCAAUAGCGAAGGCAGCUCGCUGGGACGGUACUGACGCUAAGGCGCGAAAGCGUGGGGAGCGAACAGG